rnacentral:rRNA from 1 species
ACGAACGCUGGCGGCGCGCCUCACACAUGCCAGUCGAACGCGCGAGAGAGAGUUUGCUUUCUCGAGCGAGUGGCGAACGGGUGAGUAACGCGUGAGGAACCUGCCUCAAAGAGGGGGACAACAGUUGGAAACGACUGCUAAUACCGCAUAAGCCCACGACCCGGCAUCGGGUAGAGGGAAAAGGAGCAAUCCGCUUUGAGAUGGCCUCGCGUCCGAUUAGCUAGUUGGUGAGGUAACGGCCCACCAAGGCGACGAUCGGUAGCCGGACUGAGAGGUUGAACGGCCACAUUGGGACUGAGACACGGCCCAGACUCCUACGGGAGGCAGCAGUGGGGAAUAUUGCACAAUGGGGGAAACCCUGAUGCAGCGACGCCGCGUGGAGGAAGAAGGUCUUCGGAUUGUAAACUCCUGUUGUUGAGGAAGAUAAUGACGGUACUCAACAAGGAAGUGACGGCUAACUACGUG